rnacentral:rRNA from 1 species
UACGGGUGGAGCAAGCGUUGUUCGGAUUUACUGGGCGUAAAGGGCGCGUAGGCGGCGCAACAAGUCACUUGUGAAAUCUCCGGGCUUAACCCGGAGCGGCCAAGUGAUACUGUCGUGCUAGAGUGCGGAAGGGGCUACUGGAAUUCUCGGUGUAGCGGUGAAAUGCGUAGAUAUCGAGAGGAACACCUGCGGCGAAGGCGGGUAGCUGGGCCGACACUGACGCUGAGGCGCGAAAGCCAGGGGAGCGAACGGG